UUGUGACCGUCUAAAAUCAUCAAGUAGAAAGCGAAUAGAGAUACAGCGGGCUGAGCAUCGAUUCUUGUAAUCCGGUGAUUGCAGUACCCUCAUGCUCGGAGUCUCAUACGGACAGCUCCUCCUCUUGAUCGGAGCUGUUGUCGCCUUCACAGGCCCAAAGGACUUCCCACGCGUAUCCAGAUUAGCGGGGAGGAUGGCUGGUCGUGCAAUUGGUUAUGUUCAGUUAGCUCGUGGUCAGUUCGAUGUUAUCAUGCACCAAUCUCAAGCUCAGCAGGUGCAUAAAGAACUAAAAGAUACAAUGGCUCAAUUGGAAGCUAUACGUCAUGAAAUUAGAACCGUCUCUUUUAUGAAUCCUGGUCAAUUGACGACAAGACUGGUGGAUAAUCUUGAUCAGACAACUGCAGCAAAUGAAAGCACAGAAUCAGAAAAAGUAAUAAAAGAGAACAUAUCAAGGACAACUACUCCUAAGCCUGAUGAUUUGCAGGAUUCUAGUUUAAAAGCCUCAAGCUCGUUUAAUAUCCAAAGCAAAGCAGCUGUGUCAAGCUCGAUUGAUAAAUACAGCAAAGCAACUGCUUAUGCAAGUUUGGCUGAAUCCUCUGCUUUAAAUUCUGGGCCUGGGACUAGUGAUAUAAGUGAUAAAUCUGGUCUUCUUGCUGUCCUUCCUGUAUCAGCAGAAAGUGCUGGAUUGCUCCCAAAUCGCAAGGGAAGUGUCAGUGGAUCUGACCUAGUUUUGGAAGCUAUUGUAGAGGCAGAGGUGGCAAACAAUGCAAAACAAUUUUUUGCUCAACCUCAAAAUCAAUUGAAACCAGAGUAAUAGAUUGUGUGUUUUACAUCUCCGCUCAUUUGUUCAAGACUAAUUCCAUGAAUUAGCUACUGACUACAGACUACAGUAAUUGAAGAUCAUGUAUCAAGUAAUCAUGCUGAUAUGUAAUGGCAGGAAAUCGCAAAAUAUGUAAUGGCAGAAAAAGCGCGAAAUAAUUUUUCCUCAGCGGAGAAAUCUUUGUAGGAUCCUGUCAAUAUCUUUCUGUUUUGACAUAGAUGUUCUCAAAUUUUUGCAAAGCAGGAAGUAGUAUUCAUAAGAGUAAUUAGUUGCAGCACAAUCCAACUCAAACUUUUGUUCAUCAUUUUCUAUAAAUAAACACUUGUGUGAUAAUCA